GCAGCGCCGGCCCUGCCUUCUCAGGAGAGCCCCAGGGCCGCCUUUCGGUGCGGACGGCCAGCGCGGGGCGCGUACGGGGCUCCCGGGCAGUCACGUGGGCGGCGGGGGCGGCCUGGGCUUCCUCACCUGCAUCCCGGGCACUUGGACAGCCACCGCAAUGUGAUGAGCAUCUGGCUCAACCUUAUGUACAGACAACAUUACAAAUUGCCUGUAUGGUAGCACUGAGAAGAUCCUGACCUGAAAUUUCCUGGCUCCCUCUUAUCUAUUCUGGGUGAAGGAUGAGCUAAGGAAGUCAUUUCUUGAGAUGGAAUCUACUCUUGUGAAGAUACUGUAAAGAUUGAUUAAAUGGAAACAGGAUUUGGAAUAUCACAAAAACUGAAUUGAUAAAGUAGCAGCAAGAGUUGAGAGAACUGACUCCAACUUUGAAAGAAGUUCUACUGUGGGAAAAUGAUACCAAACAGCAUUGCAUGCUGCAGAUAACUCAUUCAUAAAAGAAAGAGUCAAUCUAUGUCAAAAACUUCAUUGUAAUCUUCUUUUAAGAAAUUGCUACAGCCACCCAAGCCUUCUGCAGUCACCACUCUGAUCAGUCAGUAGCCAUCAACAUCAAGGCAAGACCCUCCACCAACGGGAAGAUUACAACUUGCUGAAA